UUUUGUGCCGUUUCCUCAGCUUAUGCACCAUGACUUGGAUCCAAAACCUUUGUUCCAGCAGAGACUCCCACAAACAGAGGUAGGAGACAAUUUUCACGAAUUCCUUCUUCACAUUGCAGUACUCCAAAUCUUUUAAAUACAGAAAACAGUGGGCAAGGUGGCAUUGGGAGGCUGCAGGCAAGGUGCAGGGUGGCAGCUGCCUCCCCCCAAAUCAAGCAAAGAAAUAAAAAUGCUUAACUAACUGACCAAUUGCGUCACAGAUAACAUGGUUCCCCCCCCCAUAAAACCUGCCCCCCCUAAAAUAAAUCCUGGCUAUGCCCAUGGCUGCAGGGGGAGAAGAAACAAAACAAAACAAAACACCUCCUCUGUUUGUUGGUCUGCUGGAUCAAAGUCUCUUACAUUCGAAGAAAGGUUCCUCCCAUAAUCAGAAGCACAGCUUUGGGUCCAACCAUUAGUCUCCCAUUUUACAGUCUCCCAACAUGUUAACUUACAAUUUAGACUUUGUUCAGACACACUUUGCCUUGAAUUUUCAGCCAUAGUCCUCUCUUCUUGUAAGGUUCGGGUUUGAUACUUAAGUUGGGGACACCACACAGAAGUGUACGCCUAUCUGCUUUUAUAGAAAGAAUGGCACAUGGAAGCAGUGCUACACUGUGCAUAGGAGGAACAAGGGUGAUAGAUGUAGAAUGUAGUGAGGAACACAAGACUGAUGGCAGCUGGGCAUUCCAUGAGGUAACACACAAGUCAGCGAGACCAGCGGCAGGACAUGAGUGGGGUGGAGCAGCAGCAAGGCCUUUCUGAUUGGGGUACUGCUGCCACUCGCUGGAUGGGGCAAAGUGAGGUGGUUGCACGGUUCAGAGAGAUUUGGGUUUGUGGCAGCAGCCCCAUAGAUACAUGUUCAUUUGAGGGGCUGCUACAUCCAACCUGGGCCUCCCCCAGCCUCACCGCCAGCCUGCCUCAUGCUGGCGACUGCUUUAUUACCACCAUAAAGGCACCACUGCCACUCUACACACACCCUCAUGUGCCACUGCUGAGCAGGACUAAACCAGCACUGUGAUUAGAUACACAUAGGACUGGGCUCUGUAACUUAAGCUUUAGAACAGAUUUGUUACCAGAAUUAAUAGUAUAGUAUUUCCAGCAAGUCUGGUGUGAUAUUUUCCUUCUCCAGUUUUACUAUUGGUUUGAAAAUGCAUAGGAUUGGGCUUACAUGGUGGCUCAAGAGCCCAAAAGAAAACAGAUUCUCCAGAAAAGGACAGGACUAAGUCCUGUAAUGACCAGUUUGCCCCUUUUCUUCCUGCAAGGCAGCUACCAGCUCUUUGGCAGAGUUGUGAUAAAAGACCAGUCAGAAACCUCCCAACCCCUGAUACAGGAAGGGGAGUGAUGCCACAGGAAGGAUCUGGCAGAACAUCAAGUGAGGCAACUCAGUUCUUGCCAUUCACUGCCUGUUAGCUAACACGGAGACUUUGCAUUGCUAUUGGGAAUAGAAAGGCCAGCACUGCAAGCAGGUUCCAAAAAUGUAGCAUUCCCAUAAUUACCACCACAGUGAUUGGAGGGCACCUCCAAACUUUCACUAUUUUGCAGGAGGAAUUCAAGCACAUGCCACAAUUUUAGGUUUGUGCAGUUAAAAUAGAUUAAACUGCACACACAAAAAUCCACUUUAGAAAAGGGCCUGACUUUUUGCAGUUUAGAAAGUGACAGGGAAAUGCAUUGAAAAGUGCAGAAUGAGGGAAUGACUAAGGGAAAGAUGAAUGAACAUCCCACAAGCCAAUCGGAAUGAAUGCAGAACAAAUACUCAUUGUACAAACACUCAACAAAGCAAUCAGAACAUAAGUUCAAUAAAGACUGGAUACAAUCUAAUAUUCAUGUAAGCUUUAGGUAAGCAUAUCAGGAUGAAUACACCAUAAACAGGUUGUCUGGAGGGCCCCCAAUUCUUAUUGGAGCUUGUCAGUCCAAAACCCAGCUGUCCGGCAGCACUCAUCUAUAAGCCUUUAGUUGAAAUCUUUCUCCUUGUAAUUUUGACUUUUUCUGCCUUUGAUUACAUGGCAUAUGACAGAAGGGGAAGAUCAAGCAGAGGCCCAAGAGGCCCAGUUGUUUUCCUUAGAAACGGAAGCAUCUGAUCACCCUAGGAAAGGAUAAAUGCUUUUCUCACACAUUUAAAUGCUCUCAGAGGAGAGCUUGAAUGUGAAACAGCUAAUAGCAGCCUUAUUGUCAAAAAUAUUCCACAGCCUUAUUGUCAAAAAUAUUGCACAGGUUCAAACUGUCAUUGAAGUGAACUGGGUUUGUGUAAAAAGGCUUGAGACUAAACUGUAUUAUCUGUUCAGUUUUUUAAUUGACCAGUUACCAAGGUCUGUGAUUUGACUUUAUAUAUGUCACUGAACAGCUAUAAUGUUCUGGCUAAGAAAUCUGGCAUUAGAGAGCCUUGCCUGCUCAUACAGAACUGGCCCUUUUAUCAUCAUGCUAGGCUUUGGCGAGGCAGUAAAAAAAUAGUGUGGCAGCAAUAAAGAUAAAGGUAAAGAACACCUUACAGUUAAGUCCAGUCGCAGACGACUCUGGGGUUGCGGUGCUCAUCUUGCUUUAUAGGCCGAGGGAGCUGGCAUUUGUCUGCAGACAGCUUUCCGGGUCAUGUGGCCAGCAUGACUAAGCUGCUUCUGGCUCAACGGAACACCGAAACUAGAGCAACACACGGAAAUGCCGUUUACCUUCCCACCGGAGCAGUACCUAUUUAUCUAAUUGCACUUUUUUGGCGUGCUUUCAAACUGCUAGGUUGGCAGGAGCUGGGACCGAGCAACGGGAGCUCACCCCGUCACGGGGAUUUGAACCGCCGACCUUCUGAUUGGCAAGCCCAAGAGGCUCAGUGGGUUUGACCACAACGCCACCCACGUCCCUUGUGGUAGCAAUACAAUAUUUAAAUGUCCAAUUUAAAAAAUAGAAGACUACUGGAAUAACUUGAUGAAUUCUUAGGUCCCAAAAUAUAAUGGAGCUUUAUUAAUGUAUAGCAGAGGUUUGUGUGGUGCAUCAGUGACUCUUUUUAAUGAUUAAGACAGGUGAGGAAAACCAGGUAUGACCUUCUCACCUUCUUUUUAAGGCUUUUGGGUCUCUCCCUAGGCCAUCCUGCACUACACCCUCCUUGUGUCUGCUUGGCUGAAAUGGCCUAUAAUAAUGCCUCUUCCUAUAAGUGUUUUAUUGGAGGGUGCAGAGACACUUAUAUGCAAAAAUGUGUGUGGAAACCUCUGCCCUUUUCAUGGCUGGAAUGUAGCCCAUUGUGCAAACGUAUGAGUCCAUCCCUCCAUCCUCUGGCCCUGCCCAUCACUGACCACUGGCCCCUGGAAUUUUCCCUAUGAGAAAAUGUGGCCCUCAGACUGAUAAUGAUUCCCCACCCUUGUGUUAAAAUAAAUACACUGUAGGAACCACGCCCGAAAAUCACAUGAGAAAUUCGUAUGAGGAUGUUACACCUUUUUUCACAUGGGGAUGUUAUGCCAGCACAAAUUAGUUUUUCAGAAGAUUUGCAUGGAUCAUGGCAACAGUAGUCCAUCUUUGGGUGUGUCAUCCUCUUGCCUGCUUUUUCAGAAACCAGUUCGGCAGUGCCAAGAUGCCUCUUUGUAGACAUGCUGCUCAUUUCCAGCUGCCGUGACCCAUGACAAGAAAAGGGCUAAAUGAGUUGCUCCUUUUGAUAUGGGGUGUGUUUGACAACACACCUCUCUCCCUAUUGCUCAUACUUAUCAGAGCUUUGUUGCGCAAAGCUGCUAGUUGCCUCUGUGCCUAGUUAAGCAACUUUAUCAUGUGUCAUGAACCAACACACAGUGAGCAAACCGUUUUAUAAAAAUUACCUUGAGAUACUUUGAAAUGUUUGUAUAACUGCAUGCAUGGCAGAAAAUGGGUUAUAAAGAAAGAAAACUGUAACCAUAAUUCAGCAUACUAGAUGUAUAAGAAAAACAUGCACUGCAAUUUUAACUACCAGAAAUUCUUGGAUGACAGGUUAUGUAGAUCCAUUCCAGUCUGGGUUCAGGCCUGGCCACGGUUGCCCUGAUGGAUUACUUUUACAGAGAGUGGGACGGGGAGUGCAAACUUGCUCCUGCUUCUCGAUCUCUCAUCAGCUUUUGACCAUGGUAUCAUCCUGAACCGGGAAUAGGAAUUGGGAAUAGGAAUCGGGACCACCAUUUAACAGUGGUUCCAAUCCUAGCUUUGGGACCAAAUCCAGAGAGCAGCACCAUAAGAGUGCUUCUAAGCCCUUUGGUGGCUGGCUACAUUAUGGGAUGCUGCAGGGCACUUUCUUGUCUUCAGUGCUAGACUGAAGAACUUUCUGACAGUAAGAGCUGUUUGACAGUGAAACAGACUCCCUUGGGAGGUUGUAGACUCUCCUUCAUUGGUAGUUUUUAAGCAGAGGUUGGGUGGCCAUCUGUUAUGGAUAUUUUAGUUAAGAUUCCUAUGUUACAGGGAGUUGGACUUGAUGGUCCCUUCCAACUCUGAUUCUAUAAUUAUGUAAUAUCUAUAUGAAGCCACUGGGAGUGGUCAUUAGGAGUUUGGUGGCAAGCCAUUAUCGGUACCCAGCUCUAUUUCUUCAUAACAUCUGAAUCAAGAGAGGCCAUGUUGUCCCUGGGCCAGUGCUUGGACGCAGUGGUGAGAUGGAUGAGGAAAAACUAGCUGAGCUUGAAUCCUAGCAAGACAGAGGUACUGUGAGUGAGUAGUAUCUGAGAAAUUGGUCAACUUCCUUCUCUGGAUGGGGGCUGUGCUGCUGCUGAAGGAACAGGCUUGCAGUCUGAGGGUGAUUCUGGACCCAGUUAUGUCACUGAAGGCUCAGCUAACCUUAGUGGCUAGAAGUGCCUUUUACCAUUCCCACCACCCUUCUGAGUAAUACCCCUCCCCACCCUCUCACUAUAUAUAAGGGUCUGGUGACUUCUGUUUCAGUGUAUCUGAAGAAGCUCAUACCAAUAACUAACUUAGUUGGUCUCCAAGGUGCUACUGGAAGGAAUUUUUUAUUUUAUUUUAUUUUAUUUAUUUUGUUUUGUUUCAACUACAGCAGACCAACACAGCUACCUACCUGUAACUUUUACCAACUGCAAUUGAUACUGAUAAUUGAUUUUAAAAAUUGUUUUUAAAUAGUUGUUUUAUUAAUAAUUCUCUUGCUUUAUUUUCUUUAUAAACUGCUUUGAGAUCCCAUGCACCCACCCAUCAAGUGCUGCAUAACUUUUAUGAAACAAACAAAUAAGAAAAACAUACAGGUGCUUUCUGUGAGUUUUGUCAGACUUGAGCGCAUUGAACACUUUGAGAAUGCAGAAAACUUGAUAAACAAGCCAUGCAACUGCAAUAAGGUGAAUGUAUUUAUGGGCUAUUCUUUAUGCCCAAAGAACCAUACCAUUUUCAUGACUCAGAAAUCUAACAUAUCAAUAUGUGCUCUUCCUGCAGCUGUCCCAGCGCGCAGAGGAAGCAAAAUAUAGCCAGUAGUAACACCCUAAGCAGUUGUGGAAACACUGAACAUUAGGAAGUAUAUUAAAAUGUCACUCUUGUAAAGAAAAACAAGAUUAGAAACAGACCAACAAUUAAGCCCAAAUUGCUGUGGGAAAGCUUCUACAAAACUACAAGGUCUGUGAAGAAUUGGUGAUACAUAGGACUGUGUGAGUAACACUCCAGAGACUGAAUUUCUUUAGACAAACCAUAUGGUUUAGACCAGAUGGUUUUAUUUUGGCAGGCAAAAUUCACAUCUAAUGAGGUUCUUUAAGCAGGCCUUGCACACACAAUGUAAAAGACAUGGGUUUGUUUUAAUGAUGAGAGAGCAACAGUUGUGAGCUGUUAUCUAGCAUUUGAAAUGUGAUUCAUUUAUUUUUCAAAUUCAUGAAUCCUGUUUUUACUGCUGCCACUACCUUUGAAAAGUAGGAGAUAAUUAAACAAGCCUGUAUUCUACAGAUACAACAAGGCAGAGUCAAGGCACACACAAAGUGAGUACCCAAAGAAAGAAGGAUGGGCAAAAAAGACUUUUCAGGUUUAGAUGUUAUUUGCUGCUCAUCUGUACAGGAUACAUCAAGUAGGGUUGCCAUUUGUCUGGAAUUUCCCAGACAUUGCCAGGAUUCAGCCUCGGAAACGGUGUCUGGACGGAAAAUCGCUUUAAAUGUCCAGGAAAAUUCGGACGUAUGGCAACCCAUGUUGGAAGUGUAGAUUUUGGCAAAUUUUCUUUAAAAAUCUUCUUUGAGAUCUUGGGGGGGAAAAGCAGCUCAACAACUUUUGUGUUCAGACUUUCACUUUCUGAAAUAUGGCAACCCUACAUUAAGACAUUAUCUGACUGGCAUGAGGGCAUCUGGGAGCAGCAACAAGCUUACCAUUAAGAGAAUGUAUGAAGUGGGGUUAAUGCAAGGAAGUUGGUUAUGCGAAGAUUUCAUCUAUGAAGGAGAAAUUCCUUUUCUUCUCGAAGAUUUAUUUAUUUAUUUAUUUACAGAGCAAUCCAACCCUCCAGUCCACCAUGCUACAGGGGGUUUGGAUGGAGCAGAGGUGUCCCCCUGCCUUGCCAGCCUCUGCUGUUAGCCAGGAAGCUCUGCUGGUGCAUCUACCCAAACAGCAGGCAGAAGCCCAAACAGGCAGGUGUAAAACCAUAGUAUCCUGAGCUACCUCUACUGACAUCACUUGGAGGCAAGCAGUUCCAUUCUGGGCAUCUUCACCACACCAGCCUAAGAGCUGGCACACUCACCUGCAUUGAGGUCCUGGUCACCUAUAGAUGCCAGGCAAGUGUUUAAAUUCAAGGCUGCUUUAUUUACUUAUUUUUGACUAUCCAAUUGAAGAGGGAUUUGGUUUCUAAUCAGAUUGAACUGCUUGUUACGCGUGGACUGUAACAGCACAGCUUACUUGGUUGCUUGGGAGAUAGGUACACACCAAAAAGAGCCUAUUCUGCAAAGGAAAGCAGCUGUAAAUUCUUAAUAGGCUGAGCAACCCUGAUUUAUUGCCACCAUAUCAUACGUGAAGCAGAGUGUACUAGAGACUGGUCUAAUAAUGAAUCCCAUUAAUUAAAAACCAAUUAAAAUGCCAAGAUAAACAUUACAUUUGGUGCUACAAGAACAGUACAUGCGAGAGGCAUACUUGAAUUAUGCAGAAAUAAAUGUCAGUAGAAACCUGGGUGGUUUUGUUUUAUUUUGCCUUUAAAUCAAGCCAUUUGUGAAACUGGCAGCGACAGCAACAAUUUAUGUAUGUGUGUUGUAUUGGUGGUGUUGAUACUAUGAUUAUUAUUUUGAGAAUGUCUAUAUUAACUGAAUGCUAGACAUAAAUCAGAGUUCUAGGAUAAAAAAACCCCUUCAGUUUAAGAUAAUAGUUAAGUCUUGUCAAUCUCUUGUGCAUCAAAAAGCACUAACUUAAGGCCUCUGCAUUAACUUUCAACCUAUGUGAAGGCAAGCAGUAAAGUCACUAUUAAGUCUUGCAUAUUGUGCUCACUUACAACUUAAGCCUCACGCACCCACAUGCUUCUGCUCUUCCUCUGCACACUAGGGAAAUAUUGAAGACAGGGUCAGUGCUAUAUAUUCAGUGCUUGUAUAUUCUGAACUUUAAAAUCAUACAAUCCAUCAUUUGCAAAACUUAUUUUAAAACUUUAUGGCCCAGUUUCAUGCAUAUUUAAUCAAAAAUUGCAACAGAAUUUUUUCCUGUUCACACAUUACAUUUGCAGACUUGGUCCCCAAUUGGGGUUGCAUUGCUAGCAUCAAGAUGGUAUAUGAAAGAAGAAAAGUGGUGCUGAAGUACCAAGAGGAUAUGUAAAUAUGUACACAUAUGCAAAAAGGUAGAGGGAGCUUCAGGGAACUUGGGGCAUUCCCCCCUCCCAUGAAAUGGUUUGCCUUUCAAAUAUUCCAUUUAACCCUACUUAGAAUAAACUGUGACAAACUAUGGAUGUAUAUGAUGUACAUGUCAUUGUUAUUCAAAGUCAAGUGAGGCUUUUCAUAUUCUAAAGGUUAAUAUUAAUUUGUCAUUUUAGCUUAUUACAGUUUUUCAAACAAUUUCCCCUUAAUCUGUAUCAAAUUAAAGGCUGGGAAUGCCAUUUAGCACACAGUGGCCUUUUUUGCAGUUACCACAACUCCUUGCCAUGCAAACAGCAUUGCACUAUCAGGGCUGUCAGAUGGAGAGAUAAACAUAUUUAGCAACAGUGGCUUCCUGCCACCAUCUUUAGUCAGAAUGAAAAAGAAACCAUUAAAGGAUGAGCUGUUCCUAAUGUGGUGAUGGGAAGUUGUGGUCUCUUGGGAACACAUCAGCAAGGACCCUGAAAGAAGGACAAAAUACUUGGCUGCAUCACAUUCAAUUAAAUGCUUUAUAAACCAUUUCCAGCUUGCUAAUGCACAUUACUCAUGAAUCUCAACGAAGUACACAGUCUUGGUUAAGUAAUGCUUGCAGAAACAGCAGAAAAUUAAAAGGCAGCAGUGAAGCUGAUGUCAUCUCUAUUGACCUUUUGGAAGGCAGAGAGCAUCCAGAGCACUAGCCAAACUCCAGCAUGUGUAUCUUCCAGAACAGGAGUGGUCAUCUGUGUUGUCUGUCAAGGGCUGAAAUUUUUUCAGGGCUCAUCUGUUCAGGGUACAGGCCAGAGGUGGAUGGAGACAGAGGCAAUGAUCUGCAGAGGCAGAGACCAGGAGUGACUUGUCCAGGGGAGCCACUGCUACUUACUGGGAGAGGGAAGUGGCGGUGAGGUCAGGGCUUUACAGACAUCACAGAUGCGCCCACAGCACCACCUCGCCUCUCCCCAUCCUAGUAAGCAGUAGUGACUCUCCUGCUGGGAAGCUAUUCUGUGCUCCCACCCCACUGGAUCCUGCCAGAGACAAAGUGUUCUGAAAUAAAAAAAUCAGAAUAAAAGAGCACCCUGCUUCAAUUGUCACCAUGGAUACCUCCAUUUAGAAUUCCCAGUCUUACAAUCUUGUGCAGGAGGAAUAAGCCUCAGUGGGUUUAAGGUUACUUUUAAAUAUACUGAUGGCAUGGUUUUUUUGAAGUACAUCAUUCCAAUACAGCAAAGUUCAAAUGGGUUUGGGGGAGUUGGGAAUCACUAUCCCAGAUGACCCACCGCUGAGAAGGGCUACACCGACCCACCUUACCUCAUUCAUUGGAGCAGGAGGUGGAGGAAGGCAGUUGUAACCACUGAAGAACGUCAUACUUCUGGGAUUUGGAAUGAAGAAGAAGCAAGGUGUGGAGAGCAGGAAGGUGGUGCAGAGUCAAAUCACGCAGGAUUCAGCAAGAGGAUAAGUGCAAGAUCCAAGGCAGGGGGAUACUGAGUGUGGAAAAGAAGCUGGGAAGUCAGUCUUUUUAACUAUUUGCAAACCACACUUGAUAAAAUGAAGAGUGGCCUAUAAAUACCUUAAAUAAAUACUUUUGGGCGGAAAGGAAGGGGGUGAAUCAGGACAGGAGUAUUUUGUCUUUAAACAACAAUUUAAGACUAAUGCUGAAAUACACAUACUUGGGAGCAAGCCCCAUUCUACUCAUGCAUAGGACUGAGCGGAGAAGAAUCUUUAUGUGGCAAUUAUGAAUGAAAAAGGUCCAGAAAGCAAAGUAAAAAACUGGUUUGGAUUAUGAUGUCAUGGAUUGAGCAAGGAAAUUGUAGCUUUGACCGUGAGGUAACUGUAACAAUAAGUCUUGAGUAGUUUGUUUUCACAAAUACCUGCUGUUUGAUCCAAAAGUCUAUUCCAGUCUUUGAGCUCUAGAUUCGGCUCUUGAGCUGCGAUUCACAGAGCUGGCACCAGGGGGCCAUUGAAUGCUGAGUAAAGAAGCAAACUAACCCACUAGAAAUGUCUUCUGUUUUAUUUGUGGCCCUUUGAAGUAACGUUUGAAGAUUCAGUGACAAUAUUUGUAAUAAAGUUAAGUGGGUACAGCUGAUUAAAAGCAAUGGGGCGAUUUUAUAGAAAGGAGAAUACUUCACUUCAAUGUAAACACUCUCCCACCAGGGAUUCCUGUUUUCCAGUGGUCAGUUCAAUGUUUGGAAUUUUGCCGAAGGUAUCUGAAGAAAGCCGUGAAGAUAUUUGUCAACUCCAGUGUUCUCCAGGCUUUGCCAGAGACGCCAGGCAGGUCAUCUUUCUCCCCAGAUGAGCACGUUGCCCUGACUCAAGGCCUUGCAGGGUUUACCCAAAGCAUUGUCUGACUCCCACUCCCUUGAUACAGAAUGCCCAGUCCAGAAUUAGUGCUGUCAAAACUAAAUUGUCCAGAUCUCCACUCGUGCCUCUUUUACUCCCUUGCUUUUCACGGUUUUCAUGACUGGCUUAGUUGCUAAGCCCUGCUGGGUUUCCCCCAGAACUGUAGCAAUUAAGCGUGUUCCUGGGAAAAAGAAAGUGCCUUUCCUUCUAGCUGUAGUUCAUUUGGAGAACCAAAGGGCUGUAGCCCAAUGGUAGAACAUCUCCUUUGCUUGCAGAGAGCCCUAGGUUCAGUCCCCAGCAUCUCUAGAUAGGGCUGUGAAUGCCCCCCUCCAUCUGAAAUAUGAGAGGGCUACUGCCUAUCAGUGUAGCCAGUGCUGAGCUAGAUGGAGCAAUACUGUGAUUCAUGUAAGGCAGCUUUCCCACAUUAGAUAAACUAGGGAUUGGGAACUUCAGGCCUGGGGACCAAAUGCAGCUCUCCAGCUCUCUCUGUACGAGCCUUGGGACUCUUUCCCCAGACCACAUCUCCUCAGCCUAACCCCUCACUGACCCUACUUCAUACCUCUCAUCAGUGCUUUUUCUUGGUUGCAAUCUGUUCUUGGCCCCUUGGUUGUCUGGCUGGUGUGAGUAGGUAUAGAAACUAGCCUACUGUACAAAGUUUAAAUUUACAUUCAUGGAUUUUGCUCACUGUUUCACCUCUGGUGUGCAGCCCCCAGAAGGCUGUCCAGAUAAGAAUGUGGUCCCCAAGGUGCAUACACAGCACACCUGAAAAGCAGGCUCUCCACCCCACCCCACCCCAAAUCCUGGAAAUCGUGGUAUGUUAAAAGGUAUCUUUGUGAGGAGGAAAUGGCAGGUCCCUGGAUUCCUUGUGGGGCUGCUUUAAAUAUAUUUUAACUGUAUGGUAUAUACAUAUGGUAUAUACAUACCCUAAGUUUUUUUAAAAUCUAAAACUGGGAUAGCUCAGUUGGUAGAGCAUGAGACUCUUAAUCUUGGGGUUGUGGGUUUGAGCCCCACGCUGGGCAAAAGAGGAGUUGAACUAGAUGACUCUCACGGUCCCUUCCAAUUCUAUUAUUCUAUGAAAAAGAUUCCACCUCCUGACUUGAACCUUAUGUGUCUGAAACCAGGAGUCCAGGGCAUCAAGUGACUGACUGAGAGUAAAUCAUAUAUACAGAUGGAGCCAGGAUACUGUGCAUGAGAACUUAGCUCCUGAUCUUGGGACUCUGAUGAUCCCAAACAGUCUCUUCUUAAGCCAGGGCCUGCUAUAAAACUCAGAUCCACUGCAUUCCUUCAGGUAAAGCAGCUUGUUGGCAAUAUGCCAGUAUUUACCUCUGCACCUGCAUGUUCCAGAUAUUUGCAGUAAUCUGGACUUAGGCAUCUAAUAUAUAUCUCAUCUAGCCAUAGUUCAUUAUUCCUGCAAUUGCCUUUGCACUCCACCCUCCCAAGCUGUCCCUCCUUAUAUAGCACAGCACUCCUGUUUAUCCAGACUCCUAAUUACCUGAGCGGUUUGCAUACAAUGUUUGUUAGUCAGAUCAUAACCAUAAAUCCAACAUUACUUCUGCUUUUAGACAUACUCCUUUUAAAAAAAAUAUUCAUUUCAGACGACGGCAAAAAUCCUAGAUAAAGCAGCGGCAGAUACUGGGGGAGCAGGUUGGUGGAUCGGAGGCAAGCUGAUUUAUUUGCAUAUGUAAGAAAAUCCCAAUUUAACUUGCUGCCUAUAAAAAGAAACAAUCUUCUGAACUCCAAAUAAGCAGCAUCUGGGAAGGUCAAGGAAUUCAUCCUCCGAGAACUCCUCUGUCAAGCAUGCCAACAAUAAACGGAGAGGAGUUGCCAUGGCACCAACACAAAGGGAACAUAAAUUGGCAAGAAGUGACUAAGGCUGGCUAUAGCCGUAUAAGGUAUUUGGGAAAAGGCAUUACUUUGCUACUUGGUAUUGAUUAUAACCAAGAUCUCUUUCCCUGUCCGCCCGUUCCUCUCCCCCUAUUAAUCUUUACAACUCACAUAUAUUUAUUUGUCUAAGAAAGGGGUUGUUCCCAAUCUGCAUGCCAAAGUGAGGGCAUGGUAAUUAACUACUGCAGCAGGAUGUGCACGCACAGCAGCUUAGUCCAGUGGUUAUCUACCCUAUUCAAACAAUCUGAUAGGCCGCAGGAAUACUGCAGGACUCCAGUGGCUUACCAGCAUACUUUACCUUUUAUAGUCACAGUGUUACUGGACUCCAUUGGAGGAGUCGUGGAAGAAACUUGCGUUGAAACCUGGUAGCCCCACCAUCCCUAUAGUUUUAACAGCCCUUCUGCUUCUCGUGCCUCCUCAAUGGUAUCUCCUUUCCCCCAUCCUGUAGGACUCUUGCAAAGAGGAUGAGAAGUGGGUGUGCUAUUGCCUUUUAACUUAAAAGCAUUGCCUCCUUCCCUGUAACUAGUGGUUUUCUUCUCAAACUUCCUACCCUCUGGGAACCAUCACAAAAUCACUGUUUGCCUACUGAGUCACUUCAACGUUGUAAAGAUGAUAAUUCCAGGGUGGGUUUGGGAGGGUUUUUUUAAAAAAAAUGUAUCAUGAAGUUAAAAUCACAAUCUGAUAAGAAAUAUGAAAUUUAAAAAAUAAAAAAGAAGAGGAAGGGAAACAGUUAAAAAACAAAAACAAACCCAAGCUUCACAGCCAUUACCUCAUAAAAUACAUUCUCAAGGGACUGCACAAUGAAUUAGAUGUUACGACAAAAUACCAAAUAAAGCCAUAUUUCAUCAGGACUUCCUAUCCCUGUGAUUGGCCUUAUCAUAUAAGCAAUAAAUUGCUACCAAAUGGAGGCAAAAUCCAUAGAUGUAGCUGCCCCCCUCCAAGAUUCCCUUAAUUUAUAAAUCAGUUUCACAGAACUCAGAAUAACCAUUAAUUUGCCAUUGAACCAAUUAUUUAAAGAAAAACCCAAGACUCCUUCCAGCCCAGGGUUAUGGUCAAAAAAGCAGCUACUAAUAGAAAAAUUAUAAGUGGUUUACAUAUUAAAUCUAUUCGACUCAUCAGUAAUUGAUAGAAGUCACAGUUUGGGGUUUAAAGGCACCAGUAAACCCAUUAUGGGACAUGGGUGGCGCUGUGGGUUAAACCACAGAGCCUAGGACUUGCCGAUCAGAAGGUCAGCGGUUCGAAUCCCCAUGACGGGGUGAGCUCCCGUUGCUCGGUCCCUGCUCCUGCCAACCUAGCAGUUCGAAAGCACGUCAAAGUGCAAGUAGGUAAAUAGGUACCACUCUGGCGGGAAGGUAAACGGCGUUUCCGUGCGCUGCUCUGGUUCACCAGAAGCGGCUUAGUCAUGCUGGCCACAUGACCCGGAAGCUGUACGCUGGCUCCCUUGGCCAAUAAAGCGAGAUGAGAGCUUACCUUUACACCCAUUAUGUAAGAAAUUACCUUCAUGACCUCUUCCCAAACUUUAUGCAUGUUUGCAAGACCACCUCAAGUGCCAAUAGAUUUGGGGCUUCUUUUACACUGAAUGCCACUCAAGGCUCUGGGGUUUGCCCUUCCUCUGUGCAAAAUAAGAGUGUGUCAACCUAUAACCUAACAUUCCCCUGGGCCUGAGCAUCUCUGGAGAUGUUUCAUAAUGAAGCAGUGCUUGCCUUUCAGAGACAUUUGUCUACCCUAAAUGUUAUCACUGAAGAACCCCAAUAAACUUCUUGGGAAUGCAGUUUGAGAACCUCUGAAAAAUCUGAACACCCAACUCCCUCUCAAUCCAAAUAUGUUUUGGUUACAUCCACAUGGCACAUGGAGAAAUCAUCAUACAGAAAGACGGAGAUCCUGCUACUGAUAAUCUAGGAUGUAGUUCAAAAUUUUGCAGCAGAAAAGGAAGGUGACUGGCCAGACAGGCCAUUUUCAAGAAAUGUAAAUUAUCUUGCAGGCUUCUAAGCUCUCAGUUUGUCCACCAUUCUCUGAGGGUACCCUUCCUUUGACAUCAGUGUCCAAAAUGAAGCACAUGCAUCUCCUCAUCUGUGAGAUAUGUGUGCAUGCUUCUGAUGUAGGAAUCACUGAUGCAUCUUAGUGCAAGGGAAGCUGGCUGUACAAUCUCCAGUUCAGAUAUGAUAAAGAAUCAUAGAGAGGAAGAAGUGUACGUCAGCCACACUUCCUGUUCCCCGGCAUCUUGACUGGUGAAAAAAAUCAUCCUUACUGAUUUUUCAUCCGUAAUGACUUUGUUCUUUAAUAAAUCUUUCCUUUUUUCAGUGCACGGCCUACAGUAUGUAACAAUUCUAGAACCCUUUUAAGGCUUUGUAAUAGUUGCACACAGCCCUAGAAGCUGUCAGAAUUGUACAUGUGACACACACACCUUUUUAGAUGAAUAUAGCCAAUGAAUCAGCACAUACCCCUUUGAUCACCCUGCUGUCUAUAAUGUAUAUUUCUCAAGCUGAUCAAGAAGUUGCUUUUGAGUAGCUUUCAUUUUGCCUCUUGCUAGAGAAGAAAAACUAUACACGAUACAGCAGGGAACAUGUUAUUCCUCUGACACAGACACAGCUGCGUGGGCAGAGCAGCCUCUUAACAGUGAGGAUUUUGUAGGCAUUAAGAGCCUGCAGAAAAAGAUUUGCAACCUUAGUGGAAGAGGAAAUGAUACAUCCAUCAGCUGUUUAUUAUUUACAAGGGAGCUAAAAGCUUUGGUUAGCCCAGCUGGUGGCUGUGCUAAGAUGUGCAUUUGGAAAAAGGGGAAAUGAGGUUUAGUUUUAAGGGGAGAAGUAGUGGAUGAAUGUGGGUCACCUGUCUCCCUCUCAGUCCAUCCAUCCAUCCACUCUGAGCUUGCUCACAAUUUUAUACAUUAUUAUGUAAUGAUUGCGGGGCGUUUUCUGUCACACUGGUGUUGGGAGCAACCGAUAACAUACCUUUCUCAUCACCAUUACGGCCAGUUGGUUUUGCCAUUGUUCUACUGACUAUUUGUUAUUUAUUCUAUAUGAUUUAUGUUGUGAUUGUGAUGUUCUACUAUGUUAUUGGUACUUAUUGUUUGUGAGCUGCUUUGUGAUUUGUGUGAAUGAAAAGCGUCAUAGAAAUAUAAUGAAUGCAUAUGGAAAUGGCUAUGCAAUGACUGCAAAUGCCCAGGUGUAUGCCCAGCUCCCCUUCAUGUCAUUCUCUCCAUGGAUGAGGGAAACAUUUAGAAGGAUAUUGGCUGUGGUCUCCAUCCUGCUCUGGGGAAGGGCAAAGCUAUGAAGAUGGUAUACGACAACUUGCUGUCAAUUCUAAGUCAGAUCAUUGGUCGAAUGAGUCAAAUAUUGUCAACAGUGACUGGCAGCAGUUCUUCAGGGUUUCAGUCUGGGUCUUUCCCCGCCUUUCCAGGAAGUUCUAGGGACUGUGCCAGGAACCUCGUUCAACGCAAGUGCUCUAUCACUAUGCAACGUCACACAGGAGUCUCCCUGGUGUUAUUUGUAGCACUGUGACAGUGUAUGCCUAUUAGACAAUACAGAUGAGAAAUCACACUGAAGGCAGAUUUAGAUUACUGUACUUUAAAAUCAGUUUAAGCAUCACCCAUGAAAGUGAGGCACAAGUUUUUGCCCUCUUGUUGCUGGAGCUCAAGCUACUGUCCGUAGACAACUGAAUGGUCACCUCUUCAUAGACUUAUAAAUAUGUGGCUUGGUUAUAUGACUCAGCUAACCAGGCAAAAGGUCUUCCUGACGAAUAACAUGAUGUUGCAUUUAUGAUUAAAGUUGAGCAAUUAAAAGUUAUAGUAAACAAACAAUGGUUCAUUACAACAUGGCGCUGUUGUUCACUGCUGUUGUUUCUUUGCUUACGAAUGUGUUUUGCUUGUGUUACACCCUGUGUUACACCCUGAAGGAGUCAGGAACUUUUUACAAAAUCAAACUGUUUUUUAGGGUACAGAGCAAGCAAAGAAAUUCAUACUAAAUGUAACAGAACUGGGCUUUUUCCCCCCCUUUUCCUAAGAGGAAGUAAUAUUAAAGGAUGUGAUGUUGGAGCAAGGGGCAAGCAGAAUAGCAGGAGGGGCAGAGGAAUAUAUUGGGAAUGAUGAGAUUUACAUAGUUGCUCAAAGUAAAAAACAAACAAACCACCGUCAAACUCUUUCAAGUUACAUAAUACGAAACUCUUUCAAGUUACAUAAUACGAAACUCUUUCAAGUUACAUAAUACAUAAUACAAAGACGACUUGCUACAAGAUGAGCAAGGGCAUUUCAUGUACUUACAAAAAAAGUUAAGUCAUGUAGAUCUCACCUUCAAGUUAUGCCCACUUCUUCUUUGGCGAUCACUCGUAGCCGAGUAAAAUUGUCUUCCAUGAACAUGGUUUUAACAGUGAGUCCAUAAGUGACUGCGAAGGCCAAUUCUGGAUCCACACGUCCUUCCACAGUGGGGACAAAUGUUUCCAGAUGGGAGUUGACCAUGGUGAGGGUUUGGCAAUGCUGCCAUCCUCUUAACAUCCAUGCCAUCCUCUUAGCAUGAAUCCUCACUCGGCUUUGAAGCUUGCUGGGUGACCUUGGGCCAGUCACUGCCUCACAGCCUAACCUCACAAGGGAAGUUGUGGGGAUUAAAUGAGGAGGGGUAAACCAUGUACACCACAUUGAGUUCCCUGAAAUGGCAGAGGUAUAAACAUGUCCAUUAGAGUCAACAGUGAGCUCCUAAUACAUUUCCCUUCCCAACCACAUCAGACUGGCUUGGUGAGACUGGCUCAGCAGGAUGAGUUGGAAUUGAGGCACCUCCACAUUUUGGAGGCACGAGUUGUGGUUGCCAGGAUAUCUGAAGUCACAUCCACACCAUACAUGUAAAGGGCAUUUAAAGCACAUGGCUCCUCCCCCUGCCAAAGAACCCUGGGAACUGAAAUUUACACACAGCUACAAUUCCCAGCACCCUAAACAAACUAUAGUUCACAAGAUUCUUGGGAUGGGGGCAUGCGCUUUAAAUGUGUCUUAAAUGAAUGAAUGUUGGUUAGUUUGUUGCAGGUCCAGUACAGUGACACACACACACACACACACACACACAGAGAGAGAGAGAGAGAGAGAGAGAAUGGCUAAAUGUAAGAUGUGAUUAAUAUACUCAAGCAGACAAUGAUCUGGACUAGAAAUAGCCACAACUUUAUCGAUUACAGAUAUAGGUGAAUUUUUGGUUCAGUUAUUGGGUUUAUAACUGUUCCAGUCCCCCCAGACAAAAAUAAUUAUUAUUAUUUAAUUUUUUAAAGGUAAGGAAACUCUGUUCCCCUGAGUUCCUGCUCAAAAAUCAACAACCCUGGGCAUGGCCAUGUAUGAAUGUGCAUUUACUUUAUUUCCGUGGCCAUCUAAAAAUAGGUUUUGGGGAGGAGUGGAAGGAUGUGCCCAGAGCUUUUUCCACAUACCUGCCAGUCUGAUGAGCCAUCACCUACUCCUGUAGGAGGGUAGACCAAUGAUCCAGAAUCUCUCUAGUUGCUAUAGAAACCAUUUCAGGGUGAUAAUAAGCCGCCUAACUGCCACACUCAGCCCAUCUGUUUCCUCCAAAGUGCCAUUUUCGGCAGCUCUUGAAAGGAAAUGAUGGAGUGAGCUCUAAACACACCAGUAGCAAAAGCCCCCAGGAAGCCUAUAAAGUCAAAGGGAGACACUUGAAAACUUCUGGUCACAAGUGGGCAGGGGGAAGUCAAAGCAGGCAGCAGGAAUCACAUGAUCAUCUUGGGAAGUUGCCUCAAUUUUACCCCUGUGGGUUGCUGGGAGAUAUGCAGAAUAUGUGCUUUUAGGGCUGCAAGCUUUUGUCCUUGCACUUGACUAAACAUCUAAAGCUCAAGUUGAUUCAUUAGUGUAGUGUGUAGCAGAUUUUUAUUGUUGACAGCUACUAUCAGUGGGGCUGAGUAUUUUUUAUUGUAUUAUUAUUAUUUUAUUGUAUUUUUAUCAGUGGGGCUGACUACUGAGAGCAGACUUUUUGUUUUCUGGAACGCUUGGUUCUAGGCAGGGCUUUUUUUCCAGCGGGAACUCACUGGAAUUCAGUUCCAGCACCUCUCAGUGGGUGCCAUUGCCAUUAUAAGAGAAUAAGAGAUGUGUUUGUGGUGAGUUCCAGCACCUAUUUUUUUUCUAGAAAAAUAGCACGGGUUCUAGAGCAUUACGCUGUUGUUGUUGUUUAGUCGUUUAGUCUUGUCCCACUCUUCAUGACCCCAUGGACCAGAGCACGCCAGGCACUUCUGUCUUCCACUGCCUCCCGCAGUUUGGUCAAACUCAUGCUGGUAGCUUUGAGAACACUGUCCAACCACCUCGUCCUCUGUCGUCCCCUUCUCCUUGUGCCCUCCAUCUUUCCCAACAUCAGGGUCUUUUCCAGGGAGUCUUCUCUUCUCAUGAGGUGGCCAAAGUAUUGGAGCCUCAGCUUCACGAUCUGUCCUUCCAGUGAGCACUCAGGGCUGAUUUCCUUACACAUGGUCCAGCAGAGCCCACAACUCUCCCGAUGCUUUUCAGGGGGCACAGGGAGAAGGAGAAGGAGAUGGGAAAUGUUUCUUCCAUGAACUUACUAUAGGCCUUGUACCAGAACAGAGUUCAAUGAUUAAGCCAUCCAUCAUCUGUGUCUGUUUGCAUAGGACUCACCUGAAGAUGAGAUCAGAGUUAUGAUGACCCAUACGCUCCAACAUUCCUCAGAUUAAAAUAGGAACAUUCCAUUCAACAUCACCAUAGAGCCAACACCUUGCUGACAUCUUCAACCAGGUGACUCACAGGCAGAGCAGCUAAGAGUGGAUCAGGGCCAGAAUCACAGUCUGAUAGCACAGCUGUGGACCAUCCAUGUUUCUUGGGUCUGCAAGUGAGGAGUAGCUUACUUAUGAGUAUCCUUUUAUUCCAGAGUCAUCCUUGUUUCUUAGGCAGGCAUUGCAGCAUCUGGCAGCCAGUUGAGUAUGUAACUUUAGGUGCCUGCACUCCCUAGGAAUUGGUGGCCACUAGGUAUCUGAUUCCACAAAAGGCAAUGGUGGUACCUGUGUUUUGGAACUCCUUCCCUAGAUCACCCCACCAAUCUCCUUAACUGUUAGCAUUCAGGAAAUGCCUGAAUAUUCCUAAUAUGACAGAUCACUGUACCAAACAUCCAAACUCACUGGGAGUUUUACAGUUCAUCUACUUCCUCCUGGUUAAGACUUUGAAUCCUGGAUUCAAUCCUUGCUUGUUUCCAGAAAGCAGUUUCUUGACUCAGAUCAAGCCUUCAACGCGGAGUUUGCCAAGUAUCACUUACUCACUAGAAUGCAUUGAAUAGCUACUAGCAUUUCUGGUCUGGAUGUUCCAAAGGAAUUAUUAAUUCAAUGUUUAUCAUGCUGUCUGAAUCAUUAAUGGUGUACCCUUAUUAAUACAACAGUGUAAUUGCAGACGUUCUUUUGGUACUAUGUCCAAAAACAAUUAUUAAUAUAUGUGUGUAGAUUACCGUAUAUUUAUCUGGCAGACACCCCCCUUUGGUUAUGCAAAUUUGAAAGCUAGCACAUUCCUGAUCUAAAUAGUUGGAAUUCGAUAUUACCUUUUCAGUUCUGGUGCAUAUCUGCUUUGGUAUCUAAUAUAUCAGGCAAUAUAUUUUGCCUGCAGGGCAGUGAAAUAAAUAAUAUUCCAUUAAAAAGAUUAUUUUUGGCCUCUUUCAAAACAUGAACACACACACACUCCCUCUCAUGUGCGCGCGCACACACACACACACAGCCUGGUCUUGAGAGAUGUCCAAAAAAAUAAAGUUCCGAAUACUGUGAUUCUCUUCUGACGCAAAGCCUUGGAAUGACUCCCACUGCUAAUUUAGGAUUUGUUGUUGAGAGGUUUUAAGAUGGGAGUAUUCACUAUAAUCCUUCAUGUUGCGAAGAAUUGUAGUAUCUAAAACAAGCAGAUGAAGCUGUGGCUGUUCACAAGCAUGUGAUUUUUACUCGUUUGUUGAUGGAGAAGCAGGGAGAGGCUAGAUAAUCCUAAAAUUCCUUGAAACUCCAUGAUUCUGGAACAGCCUAUGAUCUCAUAUGCAGUACUUUGUUUUCCAGGCAACCUGCUUGCAGAGAAUAAUGCUCAUACUCAUAUCCCAAAAUAUGCCCACCAAUAUCUCAAUCAGGUCAUUGGCAACAGUUUUUUAAAAAAACUUUUAGAGUUCUUCUGGAAAUGGUCAGUCCAGAUUAAGGCUGUUUACACCCCCACUCGUUCCUCUGCAUCUGCUGGUUUGGGAAGUGGUGAAUGCAGGACAUUAGACUCAAUUCAUAUCCAUGCCUUAUAUAUCCUGUAGUUUCUUAUGAAAUACUGCAUUUUGAUGUGUUUCCUGCCCCCUCCCAAAAAAACAGCUUCAAUAUGAACUGAGAAAAAGAACAAUCGAGUUGUGUUUUAAGGGGGUAACAUGUGCAAGUCUAAAUGGGAGGGAAAAAACAGACUGGCAUUUUGAUAACAAUGAUGUCAUAUGUACACUGCAAAAAAGCUUGCACACAUGAAGAGGACCUCCAAUCCCAAAAUAAACACCUGUUUGGAAGCACCCCAGGAUCUUUUCUACACAGUCUGUGUAGAAGUCCUACUGCAGUGUAUUUACCUGUAGCAUAUAAAUAUUAGGAUAGGUCAUAUUUAGAGUACACACUUCGAAAGUGAUGGGGGCUGAAGGUGGUCAGCAAGACUUUAAUUCUCAUUAAUUACAGUAACACAAGGCUAGCCGUAAUUCCUAAUGAAUUCAAUGGGGCUUACUCCCAGGUAAGUAGAAGUCGGGAUUACCUCUAGUUUGGAUCUAAUACAAUUCCCCCCAUAAAGAUGAUUAGGCCCUUAACUGAGUACAAAGGAAGGUAGAGAUAGUAUCUUUGGAAUGAGACUGAAGGAGUUUGCCAAGCUACCUUGACAUUUAUUCCUUUGCCAGAGAGUAGAGUUUGUCCACAGAAGUUUACCCUGUGAAUAUGCAUCUGGUAUUCUUCCUAACUGUCAGCUAGGAAACUCUUGCAUUUUGCCAUUGUUAUCUGUGCUCUGCAAGAGAGCCAGGGGGAGAUGCAAGCUACAAAUCCAGGUCCCUAGCUCUACACACAUAUAAAAACUGUUCUGAAAAUGCUUUUUUUUUUUUUUAAAAAAAAGGCGUCUUUAAAAAUACAUUGAAUUUUCCAUAAGGAUCACCAUCUAGUGUCACACUGUAUACUACACUUAAAACACACUUAAAACUUUAUUUGCAGCUGUAUAGCUGAGUCCAGAGUUACCAGAAGUCCUUGAUUUCAAAUGAACAACCUUUUUUUUAGUUAAUGCCAACACUGCAACAUAUUAUGGGUGCCUUCUCCUAAAGAACACCAUAGUUCCAGUGAUAUCCAUAGUAUCCAUACGCAGUGCUAUUUUUCCAGAAAAAGAGGUGCCGGAAUUCACCAUGAACAUAUCCCUCAUUCUCUUAGAAUGGCAAUGGGGCCACCUAAGAGUUGCUGGAACAGGUCUGGCUGAAAAAAAGCCCUGCAUAUAUGUGUGCCUGUACUUCUUCCAAAAUAUAUGGUACUGUGGAGACAGUGCUGAGUUUAAACCAGGGGUCAGCAAACGUUUUUAGGAGGGGGCCGGUUCACUGCCCUUCAGACCUUGUGGCGUGCACACACGCACACACGCAGCGUAGGGGGGGCUUCUCUGUCUCCCCCCUCUCCCCCAGCCCCUCCCUUCCCCCAGCUUUCCUACCUCCUCCGCUGCUCUGCCUGCGGUUGGGAGCUGGCGGCAGCGCCUCUCCUUUCUGGACCAGCUUUCCCGGGCACCAGGCACGGGGCCAGCAGGCGCACCAAUCUCCAGCAGAAGCCCUGCAACAUGCCCACAGCAUGGCCAUGCACGGAGAGGCCGGUGGGUGGGUGGCGAGUCUGGGCUGCACCUCAGCCCGUGGGUGGAGAGGCUUUGGAUUGGCUGGCACCCAUCAAAGCCUAGCUCCCUUCCUCCACAGGGUGGGGAGAAGCCAGGAGGAGGGAGGGGGCACUGCCACGGUUUGUGUGAGAGGGAGGGAGGGGGGAAAUUUUUUCGCAAAAAAAUGGCACAGCCCGAACGAUCAUGGCAUCCAUCGGUGAUUACAGGACCAUCUGCGGGCCGGAUCCAGAGGGCAAUUGGGCCUGAUCCAGCCCGCGGACCUUAGUUUGUCGACCGACCCAUGGUUUAAACAAUUGGAAGUUCGGCUUCAAAUCCCCACUGAACUAUGGAAUGGGAGCCGAGGCAGAGAAAACCGCAGAUAACAAAUGACAAAAUGCAACACUUUCCUAACUGCCACUCAUUUAAAAUCCCUACUUGAAGUAAAUUACAUGAACUUUAAUUCUAUUGAAAUUUGGGGAAGGGAUUUACAUCUGAGGAAUCUGAGUUUGAAGGGAUCUUGGCACUUGUCUACUCCAACCUCUUGCUGAAUGCAGAAUCUGCAAUGUGGGAAGCAACAACAGCAUCUUUGACAGAUGGCCAUAUAGUCUCUGCUUAUAUGCCUCUAGUAGCAGGGUAAGAGAGCUGAAAACAAUGCCAAUAUUUUCACAUCUGGCAACCUUUGGUUUCAGAUAGUACAUGGGUAGAUGAGUCUAAAAAGCCUGGUACACAAAUUUUCAUGACCCUCUAGCAGCUAUGGUGGCCCAUUUACCAGAAGCAAUGUCUUUAGCAUUAACUCUGGAAGUGUGUACUGAAUUCUGACCAAACUAAGCCUCCAGGCAUAUAUUUUUGCUCUAGGAAGCUUAGUUUGGAAAACCUUGGGCUUAAUAGGUUGAGGUAGCCAUGUGCAGGAUUGUGCUGCAAACUUAUGUUUGAUGGCAAACUUAUUUCAUGUUAAGUGUGAAAUGAACCCUCAAUUUGGGAGCAAGAAUUAGUGAAAGCAAUGCCAGUUUAUGUGUCUUUACUUUCCUUGGUUACAAAUAGAGAAUGCAAACAGUUGGUUUUGUUAGUUUUCUUGGUUGAGUGAGGCUUGCUAUGACUGAGUUUAAGCAUCCAAUAUAUACUUAAACCAGGGUUGUUACUGCUUCAGUUCUCAUUUAGGUCAGCUUAAAUGACAUCUAAAUGAGUUAAUUUAUUGGUACAAGCUAAACUACUUUAGGUUUCAAAUAAACAGUAUUACACAGAGUUUCCACUUGUUGGACAGUCCUGACUUUUUAAAUAGAGUUUGUUAAAGCUGAGCAGUUCUUUUUCUAUCCAAGGCCCAGCUUCUGCUUUCCAAACUGCAAGUUAUUCGCUUUGAUUUUCUGCUUAAUCUUAUUUGCAGUGCCAUUCAACUUCCAUGGUACGAAGGUACUCAUUGGUGAACACUGCCAGAUCAAGAUUUCAAAAAGUUAUACUUUAAAGCUGUGGUUUGUGGUCCAGCUCUAAUGUAAAAAAUAUUAAUUAUGGUCUGCAUGACUGAGAAGCUCCAGCCCACACUGAAAUGUACUGGUAAGAACUAGCCUCAAAAGAAGACUUUCUGUUUAAAAGGAAAAAAUAAAAUAAAAUUUAGCAGCA
rnacentral:lncRNA from 1 species